UCUUAGCUCUGUGUGUGAGUACUCAUAACUCUCAGCGUGGGUUUUUCACCUUUAUUCACAAUGGGCUGAUGGAGCAUUUAUUUUAUUGUCCUUCAGGUGCCACCAGUGAUGAUGCUAGCCUCGAGGGCAGAUGUGAUUGAAGAGGCCACUCUAUGAUUAACAGUUUCUGCGAUGUAAUUUGCUAUGAAAACUGUUUCUUGGUUUGUGGCUCAGGACUCUCUUAACUAUGAUCAGAUCUGAUUUACUGGGGGCCCAGGCUUUCAUUUUCACAAUCUGUCCAAUACUGUUGCCACAAGUGAGGCAUCCAAACACAUGUCCUCUACUGUGGUGGUGGCGGGGCUACUUCUCAGCAUUUUGCAGGUAGAAAGAACACUCUUUGAGUCUGGGCUUCAGUGUGCCUUUGUAAAACUUUUGGUACUUGUCUCCAUUCUGUUCACUUUGCAGCAACUUUUGUGAUAUCAUAUAUCUAUCCCACAUCUGGUUAAGAAUAUCUUUACGGCUGAGAAUACCACUUCCAAGCUGAUCAAAUAAUAAACAACAGAUAGCUGCCAUUUACUGAGGACUUGCUAGGUGCCAUGCGUCCUACCUAUGCCAUUGUAUUUAUUUUGUUGCCCGGAAGGUAAGGCAAUAGUCUCAUUUUACAGAUGAGGAUAUUGAGACUUAGGAUAUGAAGCAAUUUGCCCCAGGUUUCCCAGUUAGUCAGUGGCAGAGCCAGUUCAGAGCUCAGGGCUCUAUGACUCCAAAGCCCAUAUUUUACUUGAUGUGACCGCAGUGCCCCGUGGCUUCAUAUUAGGUUAUAGAAUAGGUUCUGGCACUUGAAUAUUGGCCAUAGACUGCUGGUGAAGUGUGACUCAGUGACUCUAUGGCCAAUUUUCAAGACUCUAAAUGUAUUAUUUACGGCAGAUCCUAAACAUUCUGACAUGUCAUGGACUUGACACAAGGAACCACCCUUUGAUUGGCCAGCCAAUGCUGUGUUGGUGUUCCAUUCUACCUGUCCUCCUGCUGACUUGGCUAGCAACUUCUUUAUCUGUCCAGCAGCUGUCCGAGAACUUGCUACCCAAGUAGUAGAAUUCAGUGAUAACUUCUUUCUCUCCAUUGAUAAUGAAUGCCUUUAAAUGAAACUCCUUAAGAGGAGGCUGGGCGUGGUGGCUCAUGCCUGUAAUCCCAGCACUUUGGUAGGCCAAAGCUGGAGAAUCUCUUGAGGCCAGGAGUUCAAGAUCAGCCUGAGCAACAUAGUGAGACCCCCAUCUCUACAAAAACAAACAAACAAACAAACAAAAUUAGAGGAAACUUUCUAGAAAAAACCGUUUUUCAUCGGUGGCAGUCAUGAUUUGGGGCAGGAAAAGGAGAAACAGUCUAUCAAAAACAGAUAAAAGCCACACCACAGCCUGCUGUUUCUGCUAUUUUGGAUGAUCGAGCUUGUGCACAAAUGAUAUCAUGACAGAUUCAUUUAUACGAAAUGGCCAUUGCUGAUCUCCUUGCCAGAAACUAGAUUGCUUUUUUAUUUAGGAGAUUUUCAGAGCAGUCCUUAGCUUUUUUAGUUAGUGGCAAAAUGGCACCUGGCCAAACUACCUCUUCUCAUCCAGUUGGUGUUGCCAAUAUCUUGGGAUGCAUGCAUUAAAAUAUAUUU